AUACACCAACCCCCAGAGUAAAGAGGAUCUUGUCAAGCUCACGUUGUCUUCCACAUAUUGCACAACUGAACUAUGCAGUGGCUGGAUGGUGGCUCCAUCAAUAUGCACAUUGUUUCUGGUGAACCGACUAUUGUUGAUGCUGCUGCUGCUCUGCUGAAAGCUAUAGUUACUAGGAACCCAAAAGCAAUGAUCCGAUUAUACAGUACAGGCGCAUUUUAUUUUGCUCUGGCUUUACCCUGGUUCUAAUCUUCUUUCAAUUGCCCAACUCUUCUCAGUGACUCAUGUUUAUCAAGCUUUUCAUGGUGGUGAGGAAGCUGCAAUUUCUUCUCUACCUUUGGCGAAACGAAGUGUUUUGGGCGGCCUCUUACCUGAGUCAUUGCUUUAUGUACUGGAACGUAAAGGCCCAGUUGCUUUUGCCGCAGCAAUGGUUUCUGAUUCUGACACUCCUGAGAUUAUUUGGACACACAAGAUGCGAGCAGAAAAUCUGAUCCGUCAGGUUCUUCAGCAUCUUGGUGAUUUCCCUCAGAAAUUGUCACAGCAUUGUCAUUCCUGAUAUGACUAUGCUCCAAUGCCACCAGUGACAUAUCCAGAGCUGAAAGAUGAAACGUGGUGUCAUCGUUAUUAUCUUCGAAACUUAUGUGAUGAAAUUAGAUUUCCUAAUUGGCCUAUUGUUGAACAUGUUGAGAGGAGAUACCUAAUAUAUCAAAGCAGAUUGAGUAUAUUGAUGAGGAAAAGCUCAAGAGACAGUAUAGGAAACUUGCAAUGAAGUAUCAUCCAGACAAAAAUCCUAAAGGGAGGGAGAAGUUUCUGGCAGUGCAGAAAGCUUAUGAGUGCUUGCAGGUAUGCCAAAUUCCUUGAUCCUGUGUGAGGAUCUGUCAUUACUCAUAAAAAACGGAGACCAUAUGAUUAAGCUUGAGAAAAAAAAAAGAACAUAUAGACAAGGGAUCUUAUAAGCUGCCAGCUGCCAGAUCUUAUUUCAAAUGAAUUAGUCGACUUGUUUAGACGCCGUUUUCACAAUUAAGCUGUUUAUUGACUGGUAGAAAGUGCUCUAAAGGUAUUUAUGCUGUCAAGAUGAGCCAAAUGCUUUU